rnacentral:tRNA from 1 species
AUCCGUCGAAUUUUAAAAUCGUGAGGGUUCAAGUCCCUCUAUCCCCAAGAAAAAGCCCA